rnacentral:rRNA from 1 species
CCUACGGGAGGCAGCAGUAAGGAAUAUUGGACAAUGGACGCAAGUCUGAUCCAGCCAUGCCGCGUGAAGGAUUAAGGCCCUCUGGGUUGUAAACUUCUUUUAUAGGGGACGAAAAAAGGGCUUUCUAGCUCGACUGACGGUACCCUAUGAAUAAGCACCGGCUAACUCCGUGCCAGCAGCCGCGGUAAUACGGAGGGUGCAAGCGUUAUCCGGAUUCACUGGGUUUAAAGGGUGCGUAGGCGGGCAUUUAAGUCAGUGGUGAAAUCUUCGAGCUCAACUCGGAAACUGCCAUUGAUACUAUUUGUCUUGAAUAUUGUGGAGGUGAGCGGAAUAUGUCAUGUAGCGGUGAAAUGCUUAGAUAUGACAUAGAACACCGAUUGCGAAGGCAGCUCGCUACACAAAUAUUGACGCUGAGGCACGAAAGCGUGGGGAUCAAACAGGAUUAGAUACCCUGGUAGUCCACGCCCUAAACUAUGGAUACUCGACAUUUGCGAUACACAGUAAGUGUCUGAGCGAAAGCAUAAGUAUCCCACCUGGAAGUACGACCGCAGUUGAAACUNAAGAUGACGNGNGAGAGNGCGAGACGACGACGAGGGAGAGG